AAUAAAAGGUGUAAUUAAGCAAUAUCUUUUUUAUAUUAUUAUUCUUGUGUGUGCGUGUGUUUAUAUAUAUCCGUGGUUUGUAUUCCACUAACCAAGGUUGUUUUUCAUGCGAAUAUAAGUGGCUGAAGAGAUGAUUGUUUGUUUAGCUCCUCCUCCACUAAGUGAUGUGAUUAUGGGUGCAAUCUGGUACGUUUGCACCAAACUCAUUGUAAAAAUAGACAAAGAUUGUACCAAAAACUCUUUAUCACUUCAUGAAAUGUGCUUCCACU
rnacentral:lncRNA from 1 species